rnacentral:rRNA from 1 species
UACGUAGGGUGCGAGCGUGUCCGGAAUUAUUGGGCGUAAAGAGCUCGUAGGCGGCCUGUCGCGUCGGUUGUGAAAGCCCGGGGCUUAACCCCGGGUCUGCAGUCGAUACGGGCAGGCUAGAGUUCGGUAGGGGAGAUCGGAAUUCCUGGUGUAGCGGUGAAAUGCGCAGAUAUCAGGAGGAACACCGGUGGCGAAGGCGGAUCUCUGGGCCGAUACUGACGCUGAGGAGCGAAAGCGUGGGGAGCGAACAGG